CUUGAGCGACCCGAGCCACAGGGGCUGUUCACGGUCCUGGCCGUAGGUCGCCAGCAACGCCCGUGCCUC
rnacentral:antisense_RNA from 1 species